UUUCGCCAAAAGUUUCAUUUUUCGAUUAAAAGUUGUUGCACUGGCAAGAGUUGGUUUUUGGGGCGUAGCGCAACUGCUAUAUCACGCAAAACUGCAAUGGAAAGACCUUUGUCUGCAACUAUAGUCAUGUGAAUU